ACUGUCUGCUUGCACAAAGCACCCUGUGCCCUACAGGUACUGAGCAAAAUGCCAGGACAUAGCUUCUGCCUCCAGAAACCCCAUUCUCUGAAUAUUCAGUGCUUUUGGUCCCCAAAUACCUAACUGUAGCUCCAGCCAACUGGAAUAAAGACUUAUUUGGCUAUACACUAUGUCUAAAAGAUGGGUUUGCUAUAAUAUCUUGGAGACUCCAGUGAGAUCCCUUGAGACAGGAUCUUGGCAUUUAGAAGACUCCGAACCCCCAGAAAUGGGAACAAACAAAAAAGGUGGAGAGGAUUUCUAUGAGGUGUUCAUCCUAUGAGGCUUCAGGGCCCCAGGAAAAUCUCUGAGUGAUUGUUACUGCUCAGUUCUCUGAAGACACUUUAACACCACCAUCCAAAGAAGAAGAAGAAGAAGAAGAAGAAGAAGAAGAAGAAGAAGAAGAAGAUCAUCAAAGUGAUCCUGUCUGAAUACCUCUAGAGUUCUUACAGGUUUUUCAGGAAACUUGGCAGGACAUUGACUGGACUGUGAAGAGAAUCAUGCCAACGUCCACCUCACCUGCCUACCAGUUUCAGCCUGGAAACUUGGCUUGGAUAAAGCAGAUCCUUCCCUGGACCUUGGAACCUGUCUGGAAGAGAUCCAACCUAGUUAACAUACCACCUAAACUGCUGUCAAAGUCACUGGUAUCAUCUCUUGAAAAACAAAAAGCAAAAAGACCACCAAGAAUGAUGACAUAUGGACCAUUAUUUGGACUUUAGACUAAAAAUAAUGGUGUGAUUAAAAUAAUGAAGAAGAAGCUAUCAAAAGUGGAUCCAUGCUUCCAAGAUUACCAUAAAGGCAGCAGAUGUCCCAGACCUACUCUGCCAGCGGAUACCUGACAUUAAGCAAAUGGAAACUAUCACAGAAAAGUGGAACUGGAUGAAACACAGAGAACGAGAAUUGUAAAAAGUCUAGUUGCAACAGCUACAUCUCCAUCAGAGUUCCUGCAUCCAUGGCUCAGGAGCAUCGUGAGAUAGGGGCAGAAGGACUGAAGAAAGUCCAGGAAGUCAAACAGGAACCAGUCUCUCCUAGAAAUGGUCAUGCAAACAAAAUGGGAAUAAUAGUGAUAUUGGUACACAUAUUAAUGAGGAAGGGGAAAUUUCUCACAGGGUCCUACCCCUAGGCAAAACAAAACAGAAUAAAACAAACAAAAAAACAAACGAAAAAAAAACAGAACUAUAGACAACUUAUGACUUCUGGGAGAAGAAUUAGCCUCUUUUGGCAAAAAGUCUCCUUAUCAGUUGUCCAGUGCAGAGUGGUUAACUCUAAAACCAUAUAUACACAAACAAUAAAAGUGGACUCAGUA